GGCGGUCAUGUUCGUGGUUGAAAGUCCAGGCCAGAUACGGGCGAAAGGAUCCACGUAAGCAGCCGCGGGGUGCGGCUGUGAUCAUGGCGUAUCUUAGAUGUAAGUCCUCCGGAAACCGGAUAAAGGCAAGUGUGGGGUCAAAGACCAGGUCGAGUGAUCCGCC
rnacentral:ncRNA from 12 species